CAGAAUUUUAAAAAGCUAUUUUUAAUCAGAAAAUAUGACAUUAAACAGAUUUAUUUAGUCUUAGACCUGCGGUGAGGAAGCUAUGAACUCAGGAAAUGCAAUUCUUUUGUUAUGGAAGUGUUUUAUUUUGUAGUUAGUACCCAACUUGCUGUCCCUGCACGAUCUGUGUGUUCUGACUUAAUGUGCUGCGUUCAGUCGUAUGGCUAAAGUAGAAACUGACUCUUGGACUAAUAUAGAGUAUUUUUUGAAAUAUUUGCCACAUUUUAGCUCAUGGAAUCCGCGGAUGGUGACUAGUUAGACCAGAACUCACAGGUUGAAGUUGUUUCACUGUCACACCGCUUCAGUUCUCCGUGUGGCAGCAGAAGUUUCUCUCUCUCUCUCUCUGAGUCCAAGGACCUUCAUGGUGGUGUUGGUUCGAGCGAGGAGGAUGCCGGAAGACGUCGCUAUGGAAACAGCCCCAUGACAAAGAAGAAGAGUUUAUGUCAUCAGUAGACCAAAGAGUAAGCAAAUGAAGCCACAUCACAGAUUUCUAGAAGCUCCUGCAGUGUCAUUGAACAACACACUGUUUUCUGUCUUACAGGAUGAUGCGGGUGCUUCACAUCGAUGGAUUCACUAUUUUUUUCUAGAUCUCCUUUAACCCUCCAGUGGUUGGUGGAGGGGCAUUCUCUCUGUACACUGCCCUUUCCCGAGUAUUCCUAUUAAAUGGGCCUCACAGUGAGUUCAUCUUCAUUGAGCGUUUGGGCUGGGAAGAUCGUGAACAACCCACACCUGAGGCACACUGAUUGGCUGCUGAAGGGAGACAGAUGCUGACCGGGUUCUUUCACUUCUAAAUAAUUAUUAGCAAAAUCAAGUUAGGUUAAAAAAAAAAAAAAAA